rnacentral:rRNA from 1 species
CAGUCGCCACGGUAAUACGAAGGGGGCUAGCGUUGUUCGGAAUUACUGGGCGUAAAGCGCACGUAGGCGGAUAUUUAAGUCAGGGGUGAAAUCCCGCAGCUCAACUGCGGAACUGCCUUUGAUACUGGGUAUCUUGAGUAUGGAAGAGGUUAGUGGAAUUGCGAGUGUAGAGGUGAAAUUCGUAGAUAUUCGCAGAAACACCAGUGGCGAAGGCGGCUAACUGGUCCAUAACUGACGCUGAGGUGCGAAAGCGUGGGGAGCAAACAGGAUUAGAUACCCCUGUAGUCCCUGUCUCUUAUAC